CAGUCGCCACGGUAAUACAGAGGAUGCAAGCGUUAUCCGGAAUGAUUGGGCGUAAAGCGUCUGUAGGUGGCUUUUCAAGUCCGCCGUCAAAUCCCAGGGCUCAACCCUGGACAGGCGGUGGAAACUACCAAGCUGGAGUACGGUAGGGGCAGAGGGAAUCUCCGGUGGAGCGGUGAAAUGCGUUGAGAUCGGAAAGAACAACAACGGCGAAAGCACUCUGCUGGGCCGACACUGACACUGAGAGACGAAAGCUAGGGGAGCAAAUGGGAUUAGAUACCCCCGUAGUCCCUGUCUCUUAUAC
rnacentral:rRNA from 1 species